rnacentral:rRNA from 1 species
UACAGAGGGGGGCAAGCGUUGUUCGGAAUUACUGGGCGUAAAGGGCGCGUAGGCGGCCUGCUAAGUCGAACGUGAAAUCCCUGGGCUCAACCCAGGAACUGCGUCCGAUACUGGUUGGCUUGAAUCCGGGAGAGGGACGUGGAAUUCCAGGUGUAGCGGUGAAAUGCGUAGAUAUCUGAAGGAACACCGGUGGCGAAGGCGACGUCCUGGACCGGCAUUGACGCUGAGGCGCGAAAGCCAGGGGAGCAAACGGG